UUCCUGGGCAUUUGAAUGGCCGGGCAGCCACGCCCAUGGGCUCCUUGGAGCCCCACCCAGUUCUUUAGAACCUGAGUGGACGUACUUAAGCUCCGCCCACCGGCCCUGUGCAGCCUCCCUAUGAAUUUGGUCUUUUGACGCCGCUAACUCCCAUCGAGACCGUGAACCAGGCUAGGUCGCCCCAGAUCUAGCUUUCCCCAAGCUCAGUGCCACAAAUCUCCGCUCGGGUAUCCAGGAGUCCCGUCCCGGAACCCGUAAUCAUCCUAUUAGCUGCAUCCCAGGACCCGCCCACGGUCCUGCACAUACUUAAACUGCAAGCCCCGCCCCAUAUUCUUAGAAGCCCCGCCUCUGUCAGGGCCUGCUCACGCCUCUCACCCACGCUCCAUCCCUCCCACUACUGUCCUGAAUCACAACCCGGGACACCGUGGCCGCCCUUGGGCUGCGCCACACCUACCAGAGAGAGCUAAUGACUCGAUACCUCAGAUGGAAAUGCAAAUGCUUACUUCAGGAAGUGAUUUGGAGGAAUUAAGAGUUUGGGGUUCUGUUGUUGGUGACAUGGAGGAUUUAAGCUUGAGCCUCUACCAUUUUCUCCAAGAUUGAAACACUCCAUCCUGCAGGGAAGCUCUUCAAAGAAGGAAGAUAAACAACUCAAAAUAAUUUCAGGAAGUCCCUGAAACUGACCAGUUUCAAGAAAGUCUUUGACACCAGACCGGCUGCCUAGGAGAAACAGAAACCAUGCCAUCUGGCAGGAAAAGCUUUAGAACAACUGGGGCACCUGGAAACAAUCCUCUCCAACCUGCUGAGCAACCUGCCUGUUCAGUGUGCACAGGUUCUCAGAUUUUAUGAGCCGCCACCCAUGUUGGGGCGGACUUUGGUGAUACAGCUGUCUUUAAGUGAUUUCCAUUUCUGUAGGCAAUGUCUCACCCACACACUG